GACGAACGCUGGCGGCGUGCCUAACACAUGCAAGUCGAACGUGUUGCAAGGGGCUUGCCCUUUGUAAUAACGUGGCGGACGGGUGAGUAACGCGUGAGCAACCUGCCCUUGGGAGCGGGAUAACACGGAGAAAUCCGUGACAAUACCGCAUGUCGCGGAGAGAUGGCAUCGUCUUUCCGUCAAACGGAGAAAUCCGCCCGUGGAUGGGCUCGCGUCCGAUUAGCUAGUUGGUGGGGUAACGGCCCACCAAGGCGACGAUCGGUAGCCGGACUGAGAGGUCGGACGGCCACAUUGGAACUGAGAGACGGUCCAGACUCCUACGGGAGGCAGCAGUGGGGAAUAUUGGGCAAUGGGGGAAACCCUGACCCAGCGACGCCGUGUGAAGGAAGAAGGCCUUCGGGUUGUAAACUUUUGUCGUACGGGACGAGCAGAAGACGGUACCGUACAAGGAAGCCACGGCUAACUACGUGCCAGCAGCCGCGGUAAUACGUAGGUGGCGAGCGUUGUCCGGAAUUACUGGGUGUAAAGGGUGCGUAGGCGGAUAUCCAAGUCAUAUGUGAAAGGCGUGCGCUCAACGUACGGACCGCAUAAGAAACUGGAUGUCUUGAGUGGGGCAGAGGCAAGCGGAAUUCCCAGUGUAGCGGUGAAAUGCGUAGAUAUUGGGAGGAACACCAGUGGCGAAGGCGGCUUGCUGGGCCUUAACUGACGCUGAGGCACGAAAGCAUGGGGAGCAAACAGGAUUAGAUACCCUGGUAGUCCAUGCCGUAAACGAUGAUUACUAGGUGUGGGGGGUCUGACCCCCUCCGUGCCGGAGUUAACACAAUAAGUAAUCCACCUGGGGAGUACGGCCGCAAGGUUGAAACUCAAAGGAAUUGACGGGGGCCCGCACAAGCAGUGGGAGUAUGUUGUUUAAUUCGAUGCAACGCGAAGAAACCUUACCAGGGCUUGACAUCCCAAGGAGCCCGGUAGAGAUA
rnacentral:rRNA from 1 species